AAUGUUACUGAUAGUAAAUCUUGUGAGUGAAGGUAGUCAAGGUGUCCAUGUUUGUUUUGUUUCAGAUGGUGUGGUGUCUGAUGCGAGCAAAAAGAAGAAGGCAGUCGCCUCAGCCAAGAGAGGAGUACAAGCUUUGAUGAACAUAAAGAAUGGUCUAGAUGAUCCACAUAGUGUCUUGAAUUGGGAUGCAGAUGCUGUUGAUCCAUGUAGUUGGACUAUGAUCACUAUUCUAUUUUGUUGUAUGCACAGAAGCUUCAGAUGGCAGUGUAGGCCAGCAGCUACAAGAGUAUGCACAGACGGCUUUGGGUUCACAAACUGAACCAACGUUCAACCAGCCUUUCCAGCUUUCAACACCGCUGCAGGCACGACCUCCAUUUUUCACUCGUGCAUACAUCCCUCCUCCGGAAAUUUGCAGGCCAGUGUCACCAGGACAGCUCAUCGAAAAUUUAUUUCACGUCGCCGGGUUCCGAGAAGCCUUUCUUCCAGUAUGCAUGCCAGAGAAUUGUUGUCGACGUACGACCCCAAGAAGGCGAAAGUAUCCGAGCAUGAGGAGAUCGGAUUUCGUACGGUUCCUGAAAGCAGCAAAGACUAACAUUCAAACACAAAUGGAAGACAGAAAUCCAAAACUCAGUCUAACUAGUGUCAUGAUGGUUUGCGGUUGCAUAAACAGAUUGUGCAUCUGAUCAUUUUGAAUUUUUUUAUGUAGGUUUAUGCUCUACGGUUAAAAAGGUUCAGGAGAAGGGUGCGGGUGACAAUGGAAGGUCGGUAUCUAGAAGGCAAUCUGCUCGGUUUGAACAUGAUGAACCGAAACUCGCAGAGGACAUGUUCCAUACAAACGAGAUUGAUGAUAAAAUGCAAGUCUGUCUCGUGAAGUAACUAAGAAGGUUCAGUUAAGGAAAUUGGCGUCAACGUAAAAAUGCGCAGACCUGACCAGGAGUUACUAGAUCGGGCAAUCAGUAUAACGAGCAUUUUAUGGGUUCCAGUUCGUGCUACUAAUGAUGUAUUAGAAAGAGGAACAUCUGUAGGUUCCAGUUCGUGCUACUAUGAUUACUGAAGAGGAAGCUAAAGCUAUGAAUCCCAAUUCUAUAUUAAACAUUAGAUACACAAGGUUUCCACGUGUUCAAGGCAUGAAUGAUGAAAAAUCCCCUGAAACGAUCCUAGCACACGAUCGAGUUAUCUGUCUAGGGGAUCUAAAUCACUGAAUUGCCCUCUCGUAUCGAUCUGCAAAGGCGCUUGUUGAAAUGCAGAACUGGAGAGCAUUGUUGGUGAAAGAUCAGGGAGAAAAGAGUUGUUUGAACAGUGGAACAGGAGCCAACAGUGAACAACAGGCAUCAGGACCAUGCCUCCGAAAGGACAUCUGCUUUUUUGCUUUGAAACCAUACACAAUAAUAGUCAACAACUACUUUUGUCAUUGGAACUCUACAUUUGACUAUCUUAACAUUAUAUAUAGUCUACAACACUACACACUUACAUACACUCCAUCCAACUUUCUACAUACAAACACUACACCCCCACCUUCAGUGUGCUUGCGGAAGCAUAGAAAGAACAACAUUCAGAAAAUCAAUUCAACUGUCUAAUUGACACUACUUUCGUCUGGGUCUUGCAUUGUUUCUCGCCUCUAUACAUUUUGAUUCUUGCAUUAUUUCUCUUUUUUUUAACAUCUCGGUCCUGCAUUGUGGUAAGUAUUCCUCAAUUUUUUAAU